rnacentral:lncRNA from 1 species
CUCAUAUCUCCCUCUCUAACUCUAAGCACCAGCUGUCAGAACAGCUCACAGAUCACUGCACAUAGCCCAUUGAUGACCUGAGCCAACUGUGCCACUUCUGUGGGGAGGUGGACAAUAAUGAGGAAAACACUAACUCGAUUGGCUGUGACCGCUGCCCACGAUGGUUCCACCAGUCCUGUAUGAAAACCAUCCCAUCAUUGGAGGAUUAUGUCUGCGCUGCCUGUCAGGACUAGGUUAGGCUUGAGUUCCAGGCGAUGAUAUCACCUGGAAAACUUUCCAUAAAAAGUGGACUAAAUGUUCAGUCGAGCUGCUGCAGCUUUCCAAUAUUUGUUUGUUAUUUAUUGUCUUUUUAUAUCUUAUAAUGCAAAGAUCAAAAUGUGUAUUUCUUAUUUAAUGUUUGUUAACAAACUUAACUUUCU